rnacentral:lncRNA from 1 species
CUCAUUUUCCCCUGUUCUCUCCCUUACUCAUGCUGCUGCAGCCACAGUGGACACCUUGCUGCUCCUUGGACUUGCCAAGCGUAUUCCUAACUUAGGGGCUUCCCAUUUCCUCUGUCUUCCCCACCAAAUCCUCUUGUGUCUAGAAUUGGUGGGUUCUUGGUCUCACUGACUUCAAGAAUGAAGCCGCCGACCCUCGCGCCUGAAUAGAGGAAGGAAAAGCAUGUGGAAGCUGGAUAGAGUGAAAGAACUUGUGCUUUGGGGCGAGAGAGUCUGUGUCCCAUCCUGGAUCAUUCCCUGACCACAUGGCCUUAGGUGUCCAUGUGUUUGGGGCAAAAAUGAGCCACUGCUAACAAUUGUAAAGAAAGAGAGAACAGCUGUUUGCAUCUGGAUAUGGGGUAAGAAAGAACAGCUGCUGGCAGCGGUGGCAGACAAGAAAGUGAGCAAAUGAGCAGCUGUUGGUAAUUCAGAAUCUCAUCAGCCACACAGAAUAAUUGAAAUCCAGAACCAUGCAGGGCUCGACUUAACAGCUUUAUUGCAUCCUGCUGUUCAUUAGAUCCUGCCUGUCCUCCAUUAGAGAUUCCUGUGAUAGCUACAUGAGGACUCUCAACAGGAAUAUCCACCCCGACAUCCCCAUCCACAACCCUUUGAAGAAGCAACCCAAGAGAGGUAAAAAGGCACAGACUUUUCUUCCAGUAAGUCCAUACCUAUUUUUACACAAAGGAAGACAAGGGAAGGGAUAUUAACACACAUGGGAAUGAUCACAAGAUUGGCCAAAAAUAAUUAUUUCUGUAUUAUAAGAAAUUAUAGCCAUUUUAAUGAUGAACUCACAUUUCAGAAUUCCAGCAAGCCAGCAUAAAUAUGUGAUAAGUAUAACUUAAACUUGAAAAAAUAUAUUUUGAAAUACUGUCAGUGGUUUCAAUGUCUCUUUUCAUGUAUAUGUAAUCCUAUGACUAUAUAUAUAUAUAUAUACACACAUACAUCCCUCUUUUUUUUUACUUUUAAUAAAAAGAAGAGAAAAACAUGUUUGCAUCACGCAUUACAAAAUGUGUUUGGUUUCCUUUUGGGCUUCAUACUAGUUCUUCUAGCCAACUGGAAUUCUAGGAUAAAUCUAGAAUAGAUUGGAUAGGAUAAAUUUGAGUGACCCCAAAAUAUCAGUCCAUCUCUCACCUUGCUUAAUACAGAAGAAAAACAUCUCAUUACUCUCAUAUAUAGAAUUCCAAUUCUUUAGUCACUGAAAGAAACAGUAGAAGAGAAGAAAAAAGAAACCAACCCCAAUGUUAUUUAUUGCUGAACUAUAUACAACUAAAUGUCCCCAAAUAAAAGCAUAUUUAAUUAUAUGGCAAGUUAUCUGUAUUUAUAAAGGUGAUCGUUUUGAAGAUGUUAAUAGGGGAAAUACUUGUGACACAACACUUAUGGAGAAGAGUCUGCAAAGAUCAUUUAGACAGGAAAAGUUGAAUGCAAAAUGUGCACCAUAAUUAACAUUAUGGUUUAAAGGUAGGCAUAAGACAAUUACAUGAAAGAAAUAUUUUUAAAUGGAGGAAGUCAAAAUAAGAGAGCAGAAG